UUUGUGGAGGCCUAAGGCCCAAUGUCCAAUGGAUAUGAAAGAAACAGAGGCUCGUUCACUCUCCAUCUCCUUCACGCUCAGCAUCUCACCAAUAGAAGAAAAACCAGUCGCGACGGCAUGGAACCUAGUCGCGUCGGAUUUCGUCACCGGCGGCAGCACUUCCACACGGCGAAGCAUUCACACCGUCCUCCGCUUCCUAACCUAACCGAAAUCGAAAACAAAACUUGACCUAACAAAUUGAAGCUACCGCAAUUCGAUUCUUACCGGCAAUGGCGAAGACGGAUCCGAAAUUCAGAUGGUGAUGGUGUGGAAUUGUUAUGAGUUGAAGCUUUUAUUUACAUAAUUUCACAAUGAAAGGAUGAAGAUGGCGGUGAGAAGUUUUUUAUGCAGGUGGCGGUGGUGCGACCAUGUAAGGAGUUUGACUGUGAUUUAGUAGGAGGAUGGAGAUGUUAAUGUGAGAAUCUUCACUGUGCAGGUGAUGUGGUUCGUGAUCCAGAAAGAGGAAGAAGGUGAAGUGAGAGUGAUGAUGAAUUGUGAAUAAAAUCCCUUGGACUGUGAAGGACGAUUCGAAUUUAUAGAGUUAGAAACAUAACUGAAAUUGGCAUCUCGGGUAGCUCUGUUAGGGCAGUUCACUCUCUUAAAUUUCCCAAGGGAAAAACGGUUAGAAGCAUGACUCUGUUAGAUUCUGUUAAGUUCAGUUAGAUUGAAGUUUUAUUUGCAGAGUUGUUGGAAUUAUAGUGUGAUGAUGAGAGUUAUGGUUAUGGAAAAGAGGAGAGGAGAAAAACCUCUUCAUUGCUCAUCAUAAAUUUAUAGCAUUCUGUUGUAAUGGAUGUGAGAUGAACUUGGAUGCUUGGAAGCCCGCGUUUUCGAUUCAUUUGCAUUCUGCAUUUGGAUUUUCGUCGUUCAUGUUGUGUUUCUUUUACAUUUUGUCAUGCUUGCAAAUUCGUUUAGUCGUUUCCGCGUUUGCUCCUUGUGCUGACGUGGAUUCCCUUGUGCAUGACUUGGACUUUGGAUAUUUGGAAUUUGAUGCUGGAUGUUGGAUUUGGAUGGGUAAUUGAAUUAUGGAAUCAUGGAUAUUAGAAUGAAUUAUGGACAUUUGGAAUAA